UCAGUGCGAAAUUACAUUUUUACCCCGUAUUUGAUGGUGUGAAAUUACAUUCUUCUCCCUCGUGUAACAUAUUAACACUGCAUUUUCAGUUGCUUGCUGGGGAAUUCCAAACAGAUCUUCUGUGCAUCACCGGCGUAUUCUUACAGUGUUUAGUGUUUUGCGGGAAGCGCUGAGGUUAAUCUUUGAAGGUGUGAUGCUCACUCUGCUGCCGGUGGUUUGCACGAGCUCCGUCCUCUCGUUUGUAAGUGUUUGGCCUGAAUUAACCAUGUGUCAAGUCGACUCGAACACUGCAUAUCUUACUCUCAAAAUGAAAAGGAAUUGACAAAGUGUUGUUCAAUUACCUGGAAAUGCAUGGACUACUAGACAACAUCGAAUUAGUGCCUAUCAACCUUCAAGAGAGGCCUAUCUGGUACAAGGAGAGAGUUUACCCAGAGAAUAAGGCAACACCAGGGGUCAGUGUGGAACCUAAGAAGGAAGAAAUAACCGAGGCCUCAAAAAAUGGGGGGGGGGGGGUAGUUGUGAGGAGAAGAACGGAACAAGGACACAACAGCAGCACCUCGUAGGAGGACCGGGCGUGAUGAUUAGCAUGGAUGAGAAUCUGAUGACCUCUUGAAGUGGUCUUUAGUUUGGCUUCUGGGUUUAUGGCUUUGCUUGGGAGAGACCAAGGCCGUGGCUGACUAAUAAUAGAAUAAGCUCAAGUUCGUACAUAGCUUUAGCCUUGUACACCCCUUUAUUUGGCCGGGGAAUUCCUGCAGACACGGUAUUAGCCUUGUACACCACGACCUCCCUUUUCCUCUGUUUGUUCUUUGUGUGUAGUGAGGCCUCAGAUACAACAUGGUGGCCUGCUGAACAGCAGGUGGAAAAUGUGAGUGUCAAUUAUUUAUCAAUUCAGCAGAUGGAAGCAAGUCCAGAAGUCAAGUGUUCUUUACCAUACUUUCUUGCAAGAACUGGCCUGUAUUUUUGUAUAUUAAUAAAUUCGCAGCAAAGAUUGACUCUUUAGCAAACUUAUAUCUAUUUUUGGAAAACGCUGGACAUCGCCAAAGUAUGGGGACAAUAUCCUCAAAUCAAUGCAAAGCCGCGUUGUUUACAAAGCAUUAUAAUGCUUUGAUAUAUUUAGUUAUUGACCAAGUUUAAAAAAUUCCAUGAAAAUGUGCUCUUAGUGUCUACUGUUGCGUUUGAUCUUCCUCUAAUUCGUUCAGAGAUUCCACUAUGUGGCAUCUGGACCAAUGGCCAGGUCAUCAUACAAGGCUGGUGAAUAUUACAUUAAGUCCAUGAUAGAAGUAGACCGAGCUGCAUCAUCAUCAUCAUCUCAUAGUGUCAGAAAGGAUCAGUUGCAUUUGACAAGUUUUGCCCCUUUACUGUCAUUAUCAUACAUUAGCUUAGCCGAGUACUUCUUGCUGAAAGUGCAUAUGCAUGAUAGUGUUGGCUCUUUUAAGAAUUUCUCUGCAAAUACUAAAAGCAUCCCGUGAUUCAUUCCUAUGUGUUUCUGCAGGAGCCUAUGAUGCGUUGCAGGUUGUAGGCUGUCCUUGUCAUGGCAAGGGAAAGUUCUGCAUCUAAGAAUACAAAAGUAGCUGUGUAUUUGAACUUCCUGCAACACAACAUAUAUGUAAUAUUCCAACCUCGCGUGAAAAUCUACAAGAAAAAAAUUCUUUUGUAUUUUCAGUUGAGGAUAAAUUCCCAGAUGCCUAGGAUCAUGCGGCAUUCAUAUGUGGUGUUUUUAUUCCAAUAUGUGUGGAAUUGAUAUUUUUUAAAGUAGUCUGCAGGUAAGGUAUGGUACAGUAAGAUCAAAGCUUGAUUUGUUCAUUUGGUGAGGGUCUUACAGAAGGGCUUUGGGUCUGCUGGUGCAGGGUUUUUAAAUGUGGAAAUUUCUGUGUUGCUUCCUAAGAAAUUUGCUUGUAAGGUCUGAUCUCGGAGAUUGUUGUUUGUCUAGAUGCUGAGGUUGUUUUGAUGUUUAUAAAUUUCAGAGGCAUUAUUUUCUAGUUACACAGAUCAAAUUAUUGCUUAUGUUAUCUUGAUUUGGUUUCAAAGACCUUGGUGCUUCAUAUGUUUUUUGAUGAUUCUGGUUUUGUUGAUGUUAGGGUUCCAUGCAAUCUUGUGAAUCACUCCAGGUGGUUUGGAGACCGGUUGUUUGCAUAUUUUCAGUGGAGGGGUUUUCAUUUUAGGUGGUUAUUGUAGUUGGCUUGGGAGUCUAUUAUGACUCGGAUUUGCAAAUUUCUUUGGUGUAAUAUUUGUGCUGGUCAGUUGAAAUUGUUGGUGAGUGAAAGGGUAUUUUCGAAGCUGGUCUUCUCUAGGUGCAAUUUGUGGUGGUUUAUUGUUUUAUUAUCUUGCUCCUGGUUUGUGGCAAUUUCUAAUAGGAUUUGUUUUAUAAUUGUCUGUGCUUGUAAUUGUGCUUGGACUUUGAUUAUUUUAUAGUCAUUGUGUUUAUUUCU